CCUACGGGAGGCAGCAGUGGGGAAUAUUGGGCAAUGGAGGAAACUCUGACCCAGCGACGCCGCGUGCGGGAUGAAGGCCUUCGGGUUGUAAACCGCUUUCAGUAGGGAAGAAGCGAAAGUGACGGUACCUACAGAAGAAGCACCGGCUAACUAUGUGCCAGCAGCCGCGGUAAUACAUAGGGUGCAAGCGUUGUCCGGAAUUAUUGGGCGUAAAGAGCUCGUAGGUGGUUCGUCACGUCGGAUGUGAAAAUCUGGGGCUCAACCCCAGACCUGCAUUCGAUACGGGCGAUCUAGAGUGUGGUAGGGGAGACUGGAAUUCCUGGUGUAGCGGUGGAAUGCGCAGAUAUCAGGAGGAACACCAAUGGCGAAGGCAGGUCUCUGGGCCAUUACUGACACUGAGGAGCGAAAGCGUGGGGAGCGAACAGGAUUAGAUACCCUGGUAGUCCACGCCGUAAACGGUGGGCACUAGUUGUGGGAACCUUCCACGGUUUCUGCGACGCAGCUACGCAUAAGUGCCCGCCGUCGGGAGGUACGAAUACGCGAAGAAUUAAACUAACAAAGAAGUUAGACGGCGUGAGACGUGCCGAACGGACGACCGACGAGGGAGGUAGG
rnacentral:rRNA from 1 species